UACGUAGGGUGCAAGCGUUGUCCGGAAUUAUUGGGCGUAAAGAGCUCGUAGGCGGUCUGUCGCGUCGGCUGUGAAAACCUGGGGCUUAACUCCGGGCCUGCAGCCGAUACGGGCAGACUAGAGUUCGGCAGGAGAGACUGGAAUUCCCGGUGUAGUGGUGGAAUGCGUAGAUAUCGGGAGGAACACCAGUGGCGAAGGCGGUUGCCUGGAGCUUUGCUGACGCUGAGGCGCGAAAGCGUGGGGAGCGAUCCGG
rnacentral:rRNA from 1 species